rnacentral:rRNA from 1 species
UACAGAGGGUGCGAGCGUUACUCGGAAUUACUGGGCGUAAAGCGUGCGUAGGCGGUUAUUUAAGUCGGGUGUGAAAGCCCCGGGCUCAACCUGGGAAUUGCAUUCGAGACUGAAUAGCUAGAGUACGGUAGAGGGAAGCGGAAUUUCCGGUGUAGCGGUGAAAUGCGUAGAUAUCGGAAGGAACAUCAGUGGCGAAAGCGGCUUCCUGGACCAGUACCGACGUUCAGGCACGAAAGCGUGGGGAGCAAACAGG